UACGAAGGGGGCGAGCGUUGUUCGGAUUUACUGGGCGUAAAGGGCGCGCAGGCGGUUCUGUUUGUCGAGUGUGAAAGCCCCGGGCUCAACCUGGGAACUGCGCUCGAAACGGCGGAACUAGAGUUCGGGAGAGGAGAGUGGAAUUCCCAGUGUAGAGGUGAAAUUCGUAGAUAUUCGCAAGAACACCCAGUGGCGAAGGCGGCUCACUGGCCCGGUACUGACGCUGAGGUGCGAAAGCGUGGGGAGCAAACAGGG
rnacentral:rRNA from 1 species